rnacentral:rRNA from 1 species
GACGAACGCUGGCGGCGUGCUUAACACAUGCAAGUCGAACGGAAAGGCCCUGCUUUUGUGGGGUGCUCGAGUGGCGAACGGGUGAGUAACACGUGAGUAACCUGCCCUUGACUUUGGGAUAACUUCAGGAAACUGGGGCUAAUACCGGAUAGGAGCUCCUGCUGCAUGGUGGGGGUUGGAAAGUUUCGGCGGUUGGGGAUGGACUCGCGGCUUAUCAGCUUGUUGGUGGGGUAGUGGCUUACCAAGGCUUUGACGGGUAGCCGGCCUGAGAGGGUGACCGGCCACUUUGGGACUGGGAACCGGCCCCGACCCCUGCGGGGGGGAGCGGGGGGGAAUUUUGCACAAUGGGCGGACGCCUGAUGCAGCAACGCCGGGGGGGGGAUGACGGCCUUCGGGUUGUAAACCGCUUUCGCCUGUGACGAAGCGGGGGUGACGGUAAUGGGUAAAGAAGCACCGGCUAACUCCGU